GACGAACGCUGGCGGCGCGCUUAACACAUGCAAGUCGAACGGAAAGGCCUGCUUUCCCUUGUGGAUUGCGGGUACUCGAGUGGCGAACGGGUGAGUAACACGUGAGUGAUCUGCCCCCAACUUGGGUAUAAGCCUGGGAAACUGGGUCUAAUUCCCGAUAGGACUGCAGGGUGGUGCCUGUGGUGGAACACGAUUUUCUAGUGGUUGGGGAUGAGCUCGCGGCCUAUCAGCUUGUUGGUGGGGUAAUGGCCUACCAAGGCGGCGACGGGUAGCCGGCCUGGGGGGGUGGAAGGCCCAAUUGGGACUGAGAUAAGGCCCAGACUCCUACGGGAGGCAGCAGUGGGGAAUAUUGCACAAUGGGCGGAAGCCUGAUGCAGCGACGCCGGGUGGGGGAUGACGGCCCUCGGGUUGUAAACUCCUUUCGACCGCGAGGAAGCCACCUGGUUGGAAGGGUGGUGACGGUAGUGGUAGAAGAAGCACCGGCUAACUACGUG
rnacentral:rRNA from 1 species